UUAUUACUCCCUUCAUCCAGAAUUACUUGUCGGAGAAAUAGAUGUUUCUAGAUGUAUUUUAGUUCUUGAUACAUCCAUUUUUGCGACAAGUAAUUCCGAACAGAGGAAGUACAUG
rnacentral:pre_miRNA from 1 species